AUUUUGACUGAUCACCACUCGAAAACCCUCACCGUGGCCAUUGAAUGAAUGCUCCCAAGAUGGGCUUUCGAUCCUCGAAGCGGCCUCUGACGACGCCUUGGAGCGCGACUUCGGGGCUCGAUUUCGGCGUCAUCGGGGAAGCGCUCUUCGCCUCACAAACUCAACCGCCGAUCGGAGUUCAGGAUUCUGCGAUAAACUAUCAAAGUUUGGCAUCUUCGACAUGAUUACAGCUAUGCAAGGUCAAACUUGAUGAAAGAAAAGCCACCCUGUUGCAAGGUCUCCUUUAACAUGAUUACAGCAGAAGGACCGAUGAGCAGAAGUUAUGCUGGAAGGAUGUGAAUUGCCACCUUCAAGCAUCCUGGUUAUCGGUGUUUGCUCCAGCUGUGGAGGGUUGCUGAGGAGCUUGUAAGUCUGCGAGCAUUCAUGACACAAGGAAAAAGGGGUUGCCUUGCAUGUGGUGGGGGUUGGAGCUGAAACGGGUGUUGUUGCGAGGAGGAGGGAAUGAAGGACCCCUGCAUGUGGGGUGCAGGAUGCUGCUGCAUGUAUGGUGGCCGUGGGCCUUGUGCUAGAGAAGGAAACCCUGCCCUGGGACUUUGCAUAGAGUACCCCAUGUGAGGGUAAUGGUGGUAGGGUGGAGGUCCAACAGCUGAUGGUGACGUUGGUCCAUAUAGCUGUUGGUAGUAGUAGGAUGCCACUUGGGGAUUGUACAUAGCAGCCUGUUUGCAGAAUUCAGAAAAGCACAAAUGCCAUGGCAUUAAACAUUUGAUGAGAUAGACGGAUGAUGCACAAGUAAAACUAAAUUAUCGCU